UUGCUUUGGCAGCACAUGUACUAAAAUUGGAACAUAGAAUUUAGUAUGACCCCUAUCCAAGAAUGACAAGCAAAUUUGUGAGGCAUUUGGUAUUUUC
rnacentral:snRNA from 1 species